UCAACUUGAGAGUUUGAUCCUGGCUCAGAACGAACGCUGGCGGCAGGCUUAACACAUGCAAGUCGAACGCAUCGCAAGAUGAGUGGCAGACGGGUGAGUAACGCGUGGGAACAUACCCUUUUCUACGGAAUAGCUCUGGGAAACUGGAAUUAAUACCGUAUACGCCCUACGGGGGAAAGAUUUAUCGGGGAAGGAUUGGCCCGCGUUGGAUUAGCUAGUUGGUGGGGUAAAGGCCUACCAAGGCGACGAUCCAUAGCUGGUCUGAGAGGAUGAUCAGCCACAUUGGGACUGAGACACGGCCCAAACUCCUACGGGAGGCAGCAGUGGGGAAUAUUGGACAAGGGGCGCAAGCC
rnacentral:rRNA from 1 species